GAACCGACUGAUGUUGAAAAAUCAGCGGAUGAAUUGUGGUUAGGGGUGAAAUGCCAAUCGAAUUCGGAGCUAGCUGGUUCUCCCCGAAAUGCGUUUUGGCGCAGCGGUAAAUGUUAUAAUUUAGGGGUAAAGCACUGUUACGUAUGCGGGCUGGUAAUUCGGUACCAAAUCGUUGCAAACUAAGAAUACUAAAUGUACAGUUUACCAGUAAGACUGUGGGGGAUAAGCUCCAUUGUCAAGAGGGAAACAGCCCAGAGCACCAGUUAAGGCCCUUAAAUAAUUACUAAGUGGUAAAGGAGGUGGGAGUGCAGAGACAAUCAGG
rnacentral:rRNA from 1 species